UACGGGGGGGCAAGCGUUGUUCGGAAUUACUGGGCGUAAAGGGCUCGUAGGCGGCCAACUAAGUCAGACGUGAAAUCCCUCGGCUUAACCGGGGAACUGCGUCUGAUACUGGAUGGCUUGAGGUUGGGAGAGGGAUGCGGAAUUCCAGGUGUAGCGGUGAAAUGCGCAGAUAUCAGGAAGAACACCCGUGGCGAAGGCGGCUCUCUGGACGGUACUGACGCUGAGACGCGAAAGCGUGGGGGGAGCGAACAGG
rnacentral:rRNA from 1 species